UCCUUUCAGUCAGCAUUAGGGUUUUAAACCCUAAACUGAACCUUUUCCUGUCAGCCAGCAUUAGAGUUUUAAACUCUAAACUGAGCUUUUUCAUGCAAUCAGCAUUAGGGUUUUAAACCCUAAACUGAAUUUUCCUUUUAAUCAGCAUUAGGGUUUUUAACCCUAAACUGAACUUUUUCCUUCCAGCCAGCAUUAGAGUUUUAAACUCUAAACUGAGAUUUUUCAUGCAAUCAGCAUUAGGGUUUUAAACCCUAAACUGAAUUUUCCUUUUAGUCAGCAUUAGGGUUUUAAACCCUAAACUGAACUUUUUCCUUUCAGCCAGCAUUAGGGUUUUAAACUCUAAACUGAGCUUUUUCAUGCAUCAGCAUUAGGGUUUUAAACCUUAAACUGAAUUUUCCUUUUAAUCAGCAUUAGGGUUUUAAACCCUAAACUGAACUUUUUCCUUCCAGCCAGCAUUAGAGUUUUAAACUCUAAACUGAGCUUUUUCAUGCAAUCAGCAUUAGGGUUUUAAACCCCAAACUGAACUUUUCCUUUCAGCCAGCAUUAGGGUUUUAAACUCUAAACUGAGCUUUUUCAUGCAUCAGCAUUAGGGUUUUAAACCGUAAACUGAAUUUUCCUUUCAGCCAGCAUUGGAGUUUUAAACUCUGAACUGAACGUUUUCCUUCCAGCCAGCAUUAGAGUUUUAAACUCUAAACUGAGCUUUUUCAUGCAAUCAGCAUUAGGGGUUUUAAACCCUAAACUGAAUUUUCCUUUCAGCCAGCAUUAGGGUUUUAAACUCUAAACUGAGCUUUUUCAUGCAUCAGCAUUAGGGCUUUAAACCUUAAACUGAAUUUUCCUUUUAAUCAGCAUUAGGGUUUUAAACCAUAAACUGAACUUUUUCCUUCCAGCCAGCAUUAGAGUUUUAAACUCUAAACUGAGCUUUUUCAUGCAAUCAGCAUUAGGGUUUUAAACCCUAAACUGAAUUUUCCUUUCAGCCAGCAUUGGAGUUUUAAACUCUGAACUAAGCUUUUUCAUGCAAUCAGCAUUAGGGUUUUAAACCCUAAACUGAAUUUUCCUUUUAGUUAGCAUCUAGGGUUUUAAACCCUAAACUGAACUUUUUCCCUUUCGGCCAGCAUUAGAGUUUUAAACUUUAAACUGAGUUUUUUUCAUGCAAUCAGCAUUAGGGUUUUAAACCCUAAACUGAGUUUUCCUUUCAGUCAGCAUUAGGGUUUUAAACCCUAAACUGAACUUUUUCCUGUCAGCCAGCAUUAGAGUUUUAAACUCUAAACUGAGCUUUUUCAUGCAAUCAGCAUUAGGGUUUUAAACCCCAAACUGAACUUUUCCCUUUCAGCCAGCAUUAGGGUUUUAAACCCUAAACAUAAUCUUUCU
rnacentral:lncRNA from 1 species